GACGAACGCUGGCGGCGUGCUUAACACAUGCAAGUCGAACGAAGAGCGAUGGAAGCUUGCUUCUAUCAAUCUUAGUGGCGAACGGGUGAGUAACGCGUAAUCAACCUGCCCUUCAGAGGGGGACAACAGUUGGAAACGACUGCUAAUACCGCAUACGAUCUGACCUCGGCAUCGAGGAUAGAUGAAAGGUGGCCUCUAUUUAUAAGCUAUCACUGAAGGAGGGGAUUGCGUCUGAUUAGCUAGUUGGAGGGGUAACGGCCCACCAAGGCGAUGAUCAGUAGCCGGUCUGAGAGGAUGAACGGCCACAUUGGGACUGAGACACGGCCCAGACUCCUACGGGAGGCAGCAGUGGGGAAUCUUCCGCAAUGGACGAAAGUCUGACGGAGCAACGCCGCGUGAGUGAUGACGGCCUUCGGGUUGUAAAGCUCUGUUAAUCGGGACGAAAGGCCUUCUUGCGAAUAGUUAGAAGGA
rnacentral:rRNA from 1 species